rnacentral:rRNA from 1 species
CUUACUUGGAUAACUGUGGCAAUUCUAGAGCUAAUACAUGCACGAAAGCUCCGACCCUUGAGGAAAGAGCGCAUUUAUUAGACCAAAACCAAUCGAGUACUUCGGUGCUUGUGUUUUGGUGACUCUGAAUAACUUAGUUGAUCGCACAGUCAUAGUACUGGCGACGUAUCUUUCAAAUGUCUGCCUUAUCAACUUUCGAUGGUAGGUUAUACGCCUACCAUGGUUAUAACGGGUAACGGAGAAUUAGGGUUCGACUCCGGAGAGGGAGCCUGAGAAACGGCUACCACAUCCAAGGAAGGCAGCAGGCGCGCAAAUUACCCAAUCUCAGAACGAGGAGGUAGUGACGAAAAAUAACAAAACAGUCCACUCUGUGGUCUGUUAUCGGAAUGGGUACAAUUUAAAUCUUUUAACGAGGAUCUAUUAGAGGGCAAGUCUGGUGCCAGCAGCCGCGGUAAUUCCAGCUCUAAUAGCGUAUAUUAAAGUUGUUGUGGUUAAAACGCCCGUAGUUGGUUCUUCGGUCUUGAAGCUCGGUAGCUCAUAUGGGCUUAACUGAGUCUUCCGGCCUAUAUUUCUUGUUUUCUCCCGAUGCUCUUUAUUGAGUGUCUCGAGAUACUAGAACGUUUACUUUGAAAAAAUUAGAGUGCUAAAAGCAGGCUAUACGCUUGAAUAAAGUGCAUGGAAUAAUGGAAUAGGACUUUAGUUUUAUUUUGUUGGUUUUCGAAAUUAAAGUAAUGAUUAAGAGGAACAGACGGGGGCAUUCGUA